CCUACGGGAGGCAGCAGUGGGGAAUAUUGCGCAAUGGGCGAAAGCCUGACGCAGCGACGCCGCGUGAGGGAUGAAGGUCUUCGGAUCGUAAACCUCUGUCAGCAGGGAAGAACGGUCACUGUGCUAAUCAGCAGUGAAUUGACGGUACCUGCAAAGGAAGCACCGGCUAACUCCGUGCCAGCAGCAGCGGUAAUACGGAGGGUGCGAGCGUUAGUCGGAAUUACUGGGCGUAAAGCGCUCGUAGGCGGUAUGUCAAGUCAAGGGUGAAAUUUCCGCGCUCAACGUGGGAACUGCCUUUGAAACUGGCAAGCUGGAGUGUGGGAGAGGAAAGUGGAAUUUCAGGUGUAGGGGUGAAAGCCGUAGAGAUCAGGAGGAACAUCAGUGGCGAAGGCGACUAUCUGGCACAUAACUGACGCUGAGGAACGAAAGCGUGGGUAGCAAACAGGAUUAGAUACCCCAGUAGUC
rnacentral:rRNA from 1 species